rnacentral:rRNA from 1 species
UACGGGGGGGGCAAGCGUUGUUCGGAAUUACUGGGCGUAAAGGGCUCGUAGGCGGCCAACUAAGUCAGACGUGAAAUCCCCAGGCUUAACCUGGGAACUGCGUCUGAUACUGGAUGGCUUGAAUCCGGGAGAGGGAUGCAGAAUUCCAGGUGUAGCGGUGAAAUGCGUAGAUAUCUGGAGGAAUACCGAUGGCGAAGGCAGGUCUCUGGGUCGAUACUGACGCUGAGGCGCGAAAACGUGGGGAGCGAACAGG